rnacentral:rRNA from 1 species
UACGGGGGGGGCAAGCGUUGUUCGGAAUUACUGGGCGGAAAGGGCUCGUAGGCGGCCAACUAAGUCAGACGUGAAAUCCCUCGGCUUAACCGGGGAACUGCAUCUGAUACUGGAUGGCUUGAGUUCGGGAGAGGGAUGCGGAAUUCCAGGUGUAGCGGUGAAAUGCGUAGAUAUCUGGAGGAACACCGGUGGCGAAGGCGGCAUCCUGGACCGACACUGACGCUGAGGAGCGAAAGCGUGGGGAGCGAACAGG